UGGAAGAUAAGAGUACCAGUGGGGAGAGC
rnacentral:piRNA from 1 species